UAGUUCUUUAUAAAAGUUAUAUGAAUUCAAAUUAGUUAUGACAAAUAUAAAGAUCAUAUUAUAAAAUGUAAAUAGUUUUAAAGUUGAGUUUGAAGUUUUGAUUUUACCGAAAAACACCUUCAGACUAAUAUAAAGUUUUGGAAACUUCGGAAAAAAACCUAGUUUUGGAAACUUCGAAAUAAAGGUUUUUUUUGGAGAUGCUCUUGCGAUAGAUACAGUACAGAGAAAUAUUUUCUCUCCAAUUAUCCUUCUUAGCUCAUCUCUAUCCUUCAGAAGGAUGAUUCGAAUCCCUCUACUUUUGUUUGUAAAAUAAAUUUCAAUCUCUGGAUCAAUUAUGUUUUUCGGUUUACGGAUUUCUUUUUUCGUUUUAGGCGAUUUUGUUAUCGUUUGGCGAUUGUCUUAAUCGUAGACGACUCAUAGAUUUUCCAAGAAAUUUUCUCACUUUGGUAGAAAGCUUGGUUCUUGAUUCUGGAUAGGAAUCAAUCUUCGCUAUAGCUCAGGCGGAAUCUCCGAGAAGAUCAAGAUCUGAGAUGUGUUUAAGCUCGGACGAUCUGAGAUGUAUUCGUUUCUCUCUGAAGCUUUUCUUGGAUUAACCUCUAGUAUGUGAUGAGGAGUUUCAUGGUGAAUCGAUGGCGAUUAGAAGAAAGAGCAGCGUACAAGCAAUACAAACGAAGUGAGAAGGGAGCUUGAUGGCUUAUCGUCCGUUGAUGAGCUCGAGCGGCGCAAUCUUUCUUCUUGCUUCUGAAGAGACGAAGCCACGCAAGCAUAACGUGUCGAACAUGCAGUAACCCUAAUCUUUUACACUAGGGCUUUGUAUUGGACCGAAUGUAAUAAUUUUAAGUUUGUAUGCUUGUAUAUUUGGCCUGUUGGGCUUCAAUAAUAGAAAGUUGACAUGCAUAUCUGUGGAAAAAUGCAAUAUUUUAUAAUUAGUUUAUCUGAAUUACUUGAUUUUAUUUUCUUUAACACUUUAAUAUUGGUUUGAAAUUUGUACAA
rnacentral:lncRNA from 1 species